AUGACAGCUGCAUAUUCACUAUUUGCAUCGUUGUCUUUGACCAUUUUGGCCCGUAUCACGAUUAUCCUCAGUGAUAAAUAACCGCUUGUCAUGUGAUCAAUACACCCAUCCAGAUUAUCGGAUCUCAGGCGGAUUUGCUUGGCAUUUUAGCAACUUCAUUACAAAUGAUUUUCCUGUAACUAAAGUCAAGUUGACAUAAAUUGAAGUGAGAAUGAAUUCAGUUUUUUUCCCCCCAUUUAUAGUAAAGCGCCACUAUUUACCCGUAUUUUCCAGACCAUAGGGCGCACCGGAUUAUAAGGCCUACCGAUCUAUUUCCGAUCUUUUUUCAUAUAUGUCAAACCGUGGACUUUGGGGUUUGGAUUGUUCUUCCGAUGCAAAGGAAAGUUGGCACGAGCAAGACGUGAAUUAAGGGGCCGAGAGCAGGGGAGGAGAGAGGAUACGGACGUGACUGGAAAGUCUACAGUGGAACUGCUAGGAAGCAACUUCUACACACACAAAGACAGAGAAAAUGACUAAAAUGAGAUGUUUGGGAUGAGCUCGAACUCUCCGCCGAUUCUCCGUCACUUCCAGAGUCAACAUCGUCCUGAUCACUAUCGCCACUGCCCUGGUCCGCCUCUUCUUGCUCUGGAAAACCAAGGAAAAGGAGCAGAUUGGGGUUAUUGGUCCUCACCUUGGAGCAGCUUCUUCUGGAUGAGAGGAAGGAACUCUGAAGCUUCAGGAUGGUGUGGUUCAUAGAGGAGAACUGAAGAGAAAAAGGCGGGGGUUUUAUGCGUUGAUUGACGCGCCGGCCGACGGGUGCGGCGGGCGGGUGUACGCACUCAUCUGACACAGGCUCCUCGCCCGCUGGAGGUCUUUGGCCUUCAAAGCUCUGAGGAACUGCGAGCAGAGAUCACUUGCACUUUCAUUUCUCAAGGUUCAACAAGGACAGACGUCUCACUCCACCUCAAUUUUCAGCCCCAGGGGAACUUGAAGGUCGUCCUCGGUUUGGUUUUCAUUCCCGGUUUGCAUUGCAGGUUUCUUUUUUUUCCCUGGAACUGAUAAUAAUCAUAAUUAUUUCCUUUUGUAGAACCUGGUUGCAGAACGUCUAUACCAGUGGUUCUUAACCUUGUUGGAGGUACCUAACCCCACCAGGAGAAGUUUUAAUUUACUGUUAGAAUAAUCAUGUACAAUUAUUAUCACACAACUUUAGUAUGCUUAAAGUCUGUUGCCAUAGUUAUUACCUAUUGUGCUCAAGCUGCAUUUUUUCUAUCUGUGCAAGGACACAAUUUUUUGUCUGAGGGGUGGCCUCUGCCGCUGAUUUUGUGUUUGUUUUAGCCCGCAUACAGCCAAGGACUUCAAGGACCUCAACUAAGAUAUGAUGACAGCAUGCAGACGAAGCCCAAACAAGGAAAUCACAAGGCCCCCAGCACAUUCCGUCAUAUAUUGUGCGUACUGGACUCGCUUUGCAUAAUAUGUGAGACCACUCCUUUUAGAGCCGGCCUCAGUGAUGUUGACUAUGGAACUCCUGAAUAAAUAAAGGUACGCGGGAGCUGAACCUUAGAGCGUAGGGCGAGACUGUGACUAAGUGUGCAGCUCCAUACGUUCUCCUCAUGAGCUAAAUUGAA